CAGCCGCCACGGGAAUACGAAGGUCCCGAGCGUUGUUCGGAAUUACUGGGCGUAAAGCGUGCGUAGGCGGUUUGUUAAGUCUGUUGUGAAAUCCCCGGGCUCAACCUGGGAAUGGCAAUGGAUACUGGCAAGCUAGAGUGUGUCAGAGGAUGGUGGAAAUCCCGGUGUAGCGGUGAAAUGCGUAGAGAUCGGGAGGAACAUCAGUGGCGAAGGCGGCCAUCUGGGACAACACUGACGCUGAGGCACGAAAGCGUGGGGAGCAAACAGGAUUAGAUACCCGGGUAGUCCCUGUCUCUUAUAC
rnacentral:rRNA from 1 species